rnacentral:rRNA from 1 species
GACGAACGCUGGCGGCGUGCUUAACACAUGCAAGUCGAGCGGUAAGGCCCUUUCGGGGGUACACGAGCGGCGAACGGGUGAGUAACACGUGGGUGACCUGCCCUCAGCUCUGGGAUAAGCCUGGGAAACUGGGUCUAAUACUGGAUAUGACUCCACGGUGCAUGUCGUGGGGUGGAAAGCCUUGUGCGGCUGAGGAUGGGCCCGCGGCCUAUCAGCUUGUUGGUGGGGUGANGGCCUACCAAGGCGACGACGGGUAGCCGGCCUGAGAGGGCGACCGGCCACACUGGGACUGAGACACGGCCCAGACUCCUACGGGAGGCAGCAGUGGGGAAUAUUGGACAAUGGGCGCAAGCCUGAUCCAGCGAUGCCGCGUGUGU